GACGAACGCUGGCGGCGUGCCUAAUACAUGCAAGUAGGACGCAGUUGCGAACGGGUGAGUAACGCGUAUGUAACUACCUAUUAGAGGGGGAUAACUAUUGGAAACGAUAGCUAAUACCGCAUACUAGUAGAUGGACCUGCGUUGUAUUAGCUAGUAGGUAGGGUAAUGGCCUACCUAGGCAACGAUACAUAGCCGACCCUGGGGGGGGAUCCGCCACCCUGGGACUGGGACAACGCCCCGGCUCCUACCGGAGGGAGCAGUAGGGGAACUUUGGCAAUGGGGGGAAACCUGACCGAGCAACGCCGCGGGGGUGAAGAAGGUUUUCGGAUCGUAAAGCUCUGUUGUUAAGGAAGCGGUACUUAACCAGAAAGGGACGGCUAACUACGUGCCAGCAGCCGCGGUAAUAC
rnacentral:rRNA from 1 species